rnacentral:rRNA from 1 species
UACGGGGGGAGCAAGCGUUGUUCGGAUUUACUGGGCGUAAAGGGCGUGCAGGCGGUUUGUUAAGUCUAGGGUGAAAGCUCCCGGCUCAACUGGGAGAGGUCCUUGGAUACUGGCAGACUUGAGGAGAGAAGAGGAGAGUGGAAUUCCCGGUGUAGUGGUGAUAUGCGUAGAUAUCGGGAGGAACACCAGUGGCGAAGGCGGCUCUCUGGGCUCUACCUGACGCUGAGACGCGAAAGCGUGGGGAGCGAACCGG